rnacentral:rRNA from 1 species
UCUUAGCUUGCUAAGGCCGAUGGCGACCGGCGCACGGGUGAGUAACACGUAUCCAACUUGCCGUCUACUCUUGGACAGCCUUCUGAAAGGAAGAUUACUACAAGAUGGCAUCAUGAGUCCGCAUGUUCACAUGAUUAAAGGUAUUCCGGUAGACGAUGGGGAUGCGUUCCAUUAGAUAGUAGGCGGGGUAACGGCCCACCUAGUCUUCGAUGGAUAGGGGUUCUGAGAGGAAGGUCCCCCACAUUGGAACUGAGACACGGUCCAAACUCCUACGGGAGGCAGCAGUGAGGAAUAUUGGUCAAUGGGCGAGAGCCUGAACCAGCCAAGUAGCGUGAAGGAUGACUGCCCUAUGGGUUGUAAACUUCUUUUAUAAAGGAAUAAAGUCGGGUAUGGAUACCCGUUUGCAUGUACUUUAUGAAUAAGGAUCGGCUAACUCCGUGCCAGCAGCCGCGGUAAUACGGAGGAUCCGAGCGUUAUCCGGAUUUAUUGGGUUUAAAGGGAGCGUAGAUGGAUGUUUAAGUCAGUUGUGAAAGUUUGCGGCUCAACCGUAAAAUUGCAGUUGAUACUGGAUAUCUUGAGUGCAGUUGAGGCAGGCGGAAUUCGUGGUGUAGCGGUGAAAUGCUUAGAUAUCACGAAGAACUCCGAUUG